CCUGGAGGACUACCUCAGUGAGAGUGUCUUCAUCGACAACCUCAAGAAAAGAUGACCAGCAGAACAUCAUCUAUACCUACAUCGGGCAGGUGGUGAUCUCAGUCAAUCCCUACACAGACCUGGGCCUCUACACAGAGGACUGCCUCGAGAAGUACAGGAAUGUCAAUUUUUACGAAGUGCCACCCCAUGUAUUCGCCAUCACCGAGAA